rnacentral:rRNA from 1 species
AGAGAACUGAAACAUCUAAGUACCUGCAGGAAGAGAAAGAAAAUUCGAUUCCCUGAGUAGCGGCGAGCGAAACGGGAAAAGCCCAAACCAGCAAGCUUGCUUGUUGGGGUUGUAGGACUCCAAUAUGGUAGUUCUUUCAGAUAGUCGAAUGACUUGGAAAAGUCAGUCAAAGAGGGUAAAAACCCCGUAGACGAAAUGUGGAAGACACCUAGGAGGAUCCUGAGUACGGCGGAACACGAGAAAUUCCGUCGGAAUCCGGGAGGACCAUCUCCCAAGGCUAAAUACUCCCUAGUGACCGAUAGUGAACCAGUACCGUGAGGGAAAGGUGAAAAGCACCCCGGAAGGGGAGUGAAAUAGAACCUGAAACCGUGUGCCUACAACAAGUCAAAGCCCGUUAAUGGGUGAUGGCGUGCCUUUUGUAGAAUGAACCGGCGAGUUACGAUUGCAUGCGAGGUUAAGUUGAAGAGACGGAGCCGCAGCGAAAGCGAGUCUGAAUAGGGCGUUUGAGUAUGUAGUCGUAGACCCGAAACCAUGUGAUCUACCCAUGUCCAGGUUGAAGGUGCGGUAAAACGCACUGGAGGACCGAACCCACGUACGUUGAAAAGUGCGGGGAUGAGGUGUGGGUAGCGGAGAAAUUCCAAACGAACUUGGAGAUAGCUGGUUCUCUCCGAAAUAGCUUUAGGGCUAGCCUCGGAAUUGAGAAUGAUGGAGGUAGAGCACUGUUUGGACUAGGGGCCCAUCUCGGGUUACCGAAUUCAGAUAAACUCCGAAUGCCAUUCAUUCAUAUCCGGGAGUCAGACUGUGAGUGAUAAGAUCCAUAGUCGAAAGGGAAACAGCCCAGACCACCAGCUAAGGUCCCAAAAUAUAUGUUAAGUGGAAAAGGAUGUGGGGUUGCACAGACAACUAGGAUGUUGGCUUAGAAGCAGCCACCAUUUAAAGAGUGCGUAAUAGCUCACUAGUCGAGUGACCCUGCGCCGAAAAUGUACCGGGGCUAAACAUAUUACCGAAGCUGUGGAGUACACCUUUAGGUGUAUUGGUAGGAGAGCGUUCUAAGGGCGUUGAAGGCAGAUCGUGAGGACUGCUGGAGCGCUUAGAAGUGAGAAUGCCGGUAUGAGUAGCGAAAGACAGGUGAGAAUCCUGUCCACCGAAUGACUAAGGUUUCCUGGGGAAGGCUCGUCCGCCCAGGGUUAGUCGGGACCUAAGCCGAGGCCGACAGGCGUAGGCGAUGGAUAACAGGUUGAUAUUCCUGUACCCGUUGUUUUUGUUUGAGCAAUGGAGGGACGCAGGAGGCUAAGGAAUGCAGACGAUCGGAAAUGUCUGUCCAA